rnacentral:lncRNA from 1 species
GUUGAAGCCACCCAGUGCUGUCCUCUAGUGGUGGAUUCUAUAUCACAGCCAUUAGUCACAGCAAUUUGAAUUUAAAUGUUAAUUAAAAUUAAACUAAAAUCUGGUCUCAUGUUCUGAGCGCUCUGGCCACAGGUAAAUGGCAUCUGCCAUAUUGGCCCUUGCAACCAGAGAUGACUUCUUUGAGACACGGAAGCACAGAGAGUAGUUUUCUCAAGAUCAACACAGCUAAAAGUAACAUGUUACAACUCAGAUUUGCGUGCAUGGUCAACAGACAUUCACCAUCUCUUCCAAGCACUUUAUCACCUACAGCAUUAAGUGGGGGUCCCCCAGAUCCUGCCCCUUCCAAACAUAGCUCAAGCCCAUGUUCCCUGCCUAUGGCAGGAGCUAAGGUAUCUGUUGCCUGUGGCUAUGCCAUGGGAAGGGGCAGAAUAAACAUGGAUCUUACCUCUUCCAUCUACAAAGAAGGUGUUGCCUUGAUGUUAGUCAAGAUCUUUGAGGGGACAAGGAAGGAAGUGGAGAAGCUACCUGCCCCAGCCUCCUGGACUCCGAGAUUAUACACACACACCAUCAUGCCUAGCUAAGAGAAAAUAUUUUAUGAUAACAUACAAGUCAAAUAAAUGCAUACUUAUAUGCAGGAAUGCAUAUACUACUAGAUGUGUGCACCCAAGCACACACACACACACACACACAAAGAUAAAAACAUUUAGGGACACCCAUGCUUGUUAAUACCGACAGACAGUACCACACCACGAACGUUUUGGGAAGACAGCCAAGAAUGUGUCCCCAAGGCAGCACAGAGCUGCAUGUCUAAUGGUGCUGGCUUUCCUGAUCUGUCUCUGAUAAAUAUCCCAGUUCCAGAAGCAUCCUUGAAGGCUCAUUGGAGGCAUACAAGCAGCCUCCCAAUGGCUGACAGCCAAGGGAUGCAGACAAGAGUUAGGCAAGAGCAACCAGUGCUAAAAGGUGGCCCACAGAUGUUAGCAUCAGCAAGAAUAGAGAAGCAAGCGCAUGAAGCAGGUCUUAGUCUCCCCAGACUAAGACUGUCACAGCUUAGAGCCACAGCUCUAAGGGAUUAAGAGCCACAGCUUGGCCUUCCAAGGUAGUGUGAGACCCCAUAGGACCAUCACAGGUCCAGGUCAAACACCCUAAGUCCCAGCAGCCAAAUAGGUGCCCAGAGAGGGAGGAAAGCAGGACAGACGGCCAGGAUCGGAACACAAUAGGACAAUGCCAGGCAUGGAACAGAAGCCCUGAGUGGAGGAAAUGCCCUAUCUGUAAUUGCCCCCACACAGGAGAAGAAGAAGAAAAAAGCCCAAGUACAAACGGAAAGCUGGGUAAACAAAAGGUACCAGGUUGCAUUGUAUAUAACACAUAAUGGAGUAUUUCCCAGCAAGUUAAAAAUCCACACAGUCACUACAAAGAAGUUGCACAGGCACGAUGCUGAGAAAGAACCUGUACACAGCGGAUCUGGGCCUGGAGACCCUGUUUAUACACAGCUCCAUAACUCUCAAGAAGAAUCGGCAUGGUCCGUCUCAUGGGCACCUCUGGCUGGGAAAGUGUGGAUGUGGACUUGGCAGGGACAUCAGGCAACUUCCGGGUGAUUAGGAAUGUAUUCCCCCCGCCCCCACUGAACCAUAUAUUUAAGUUCUAUAAACUCACAGAGUGCAUGUCACUCUUCAGCGAUGUGUUUUUUGGUUUUGUUUGUUUUGCAUUAUCAACUGUAUUCUUUUUGUUGUUGUUGUUGUUUUUCCGUUUUUCGAGGCAGUAUUUCUCUGUGUAGCUCUGGCUGUCCUAGAACUCACUGUGUAGACCAGGCUGGCCUCGAACUCAGAAAUUCGCCUGCCUCUGCCUCCCAAGUGCUGGGAUUAAAGGCGUGCGCCACCACCUCCAGGCCAGCGAUGUGUUUUAAAAGAGAGGGAGCCUGCUCACUAUCUGAGCCAAGUGCUAACUGAACCAAGGGCAGGAGGCCUCACUGUGCAAGUGAACCUACUGUUCUUGGCCUGAAGAGGGCGCAGUUGUUGUGUCCUUCCCUGUUUCCAAUCUUGCAGGAAGUGUUCCAAGACAAACAAACCUCGCUCCUACAAGAAGGGAGCUGUCUCAUGUUUAUCCCAUACCCCAUCCAUGACUCAAGGCCACCAGAGAGCCCUGCUUCAGGGGUGCAGGAGCAAGGGGCAGGUAGGACAGGGUGCACCCUUGGUCAUUUUAAACCUCUCCUCUGUCCCUGUAAGACCAUACAAGUAGAACCUGCAGUAAAAGACCCUCGAGGUCUGACACACAUCCCCCCCAUCCCUCCUGAGCUCCCAUGGAGGUGGGAGGUCCCUUGGUUCUGAGGGUCCUGGGAAAAUAUUUCCACAGGUAGAGGGGUAUUAGAUCUGCAAGUGAUGUGCCCAGGUUUGCAUAAGGGACAGAUCACUAUGGCAACCAGACUGGAGUCUUGAGAGUGAGAGGACAGCUAAGUUUGACCUCAAGACUGGCCUGGGUUGUGAAAAAGCCCCAGGAGAAAGGUGGAGGUGGGGAUUAGAGAGAGGACUGCGGUCAUGAGAUACUUAAGAGGAAGGUUUCUUAUAAAUAAUAGCUGAUGUCUGAAGGGUGGAAAGGGGAAGACAUUGAAUGAUAGAACUGUUCCAAGCAGCUAAACCUGAGAACAUGCCAGAAACCAGAGCUGGUCCAUAAUUGGAGGGUCCAUUUUGGAACUGUGUGGAAAGCCAUGAACUGAAUGGGCCUGACAGGAUAAAGAAUACUGUCUUAGUUAGGGUCUUACUGCUGUGAACAGACACCAUGACCAACGCAACACUCAUUUAAUUGGGGCUGACUUACAGGUUCAGAGGUUCAAUCCAGUAUCAUCAAGGCGGGAACAUGGCAGCAUCCAGGCAGGCAUGAUGCAGGAGGAGCUGAGUGUUCUACAUCUUCAUCUGAAGGAUGCUAGCAGAAUACCGGCUUCCAGGUAGCUAGGAUGAGGGACUCUUCACAGGCUCCUGGCACAAAACUGGAGACUUUCUUACUGGUCAGUGUUUCCCAAACUGUGUUCUUUGGAAUUUUUGCUUCCCUCCAAGUGGUGGGUGUGUUUAAAGCUAGAAGAUCCUAGACAAAAUAAAAAUAAUAAUAAUGUUAGCAAACAAGGGCAAAUAUCUCAUGGAGACUUCCAUACCAGGCCUUCCCUCCAGCCAUACAAGUUCUUAAAUCAGUUCUGUCCACACUGAACUAUUUUUAUUGAAAA